rnacentral:rRNA from 1 species
ACACCCACUAUCCGCCCGGGAACUACGAGCAAAAGCUUAAAACCCAAAGGACUUGGCGGUGCUUUAGAUCCACCUAGAAGAGCCUGUUCUAGAACCGAUAACCCCCGUUCAACCUCACCUUUCCUUGUUUUUCCCGCCUAUAUACCGCCGUCGUCAGCUUACCCUCUGAAGGUCUAAUAGUAAGCAAGACUGGUACAACCUAAAACGUCAGGUCGAGGUGUAGCGUAUGGAAGGGGAAGAAAUGGGCUACAUUCGCUUCUACAGCGAACACGGAGGGUGUACUGAAACGUACACCUGAAGGAGGAUUUAGCAGUAAGCAGGAAAUAGAGCGUCCCGCUGAAAUCGGCCCUGAAGCGCGCACACACCGCCCGUCACUCUCCCCGAAAACACCCACUCAGUUAAUUAAAACCUAAUAAUCAUAGAGGGGAGGCAAGUCGUAACAUGGUAAGUGUACCGGAAGGUGCACUUGGAAAAAU